rnacentral:rRNA from 1 species
GGAGGGGGUUAGCGUUGUUCGGAAUUACUGGGCGUAAAGCGUACGUAGGCGGAUUGGAAAGUAGGGGGUGAAAUCCCAGGGCUCAACCCUGGGAACUGCCUCCUAAACUAUCAGUCUAGAGUUCGAGAGAGGUGAGUGGAAUUCCAAGUGUAGAGGUGAAAUUCGUAGAUAUUUGGAGGAACACCAGUGGCGAAGGCGGCUCACUGGCUCGAUACUGACGCUGAGGUACGAAAGUGUGGGGAGCAAACAGGAUUAGAUACCCUGGUAGUCCACACCGUAAACGAUGAAUGCCAGUCGUCGGGGAGCUUGUCUCUUCGGUGACACACCUAACGGAUUAAGCAUUCCGCCUGGAGUACGGUCGCAAGAUUAAACUCAAGGAAUUGACGGGGCCGCACAAGGCGUGAGCAUGUGUUAAUUCGACGCAACGCAGAACCUUACCAACCCUUGAC